ensembl:lncRNA
GAUAUUAGGAGGACAUCUUUUGCUCAGAGGGUGUCAACACAUUGGAACAGUUUGUCCAGAGAGGCUAUGGAUGCCCCACCCGUGAAGGUAUUCAAGGCCAGGUUGAAUGUGGCUCUGUGCAGCCUGGUCUGGUCAUUGGCAUCCCUGACCACAGCAUGGGGGUUGAAUCUAGGUAAUCUUUGAUGUCCUUUUCAAUCCAGGUCAUUCCAUGAUUCUAUGAUACUUUCAUGGGCAAGAAGCUCAGAUGCCCUCCUGAAUUGCUGAACAGCUUUGGUACUGACGGAAUGAUCUUGUACGCAUAACCCAUGCUUCUCCUGCUAAUGUCUCCAAAAUGCUUUGCUUUUGUCCCUCCUCAUCACAAAAGAAACAAUGCUUGCACUGCAGAAUUGCCUUAGAACUGUAGUCCCUGUAUUUCUGCCCUACCCUAAGCUCACACCAAGUUCUGAACAAGGUUCUUGGGCUGGUUUCAUUUCUUUCUGGGUCAUUUAAUACUGCUUCACAUUUACAGAAGCAGCAGUGCUGAGCUGCUUUACAUACCACAGUGGGAUAAAUGCUAUGAACAUAAUUAACCUGCAGUCCCCAUCUCUACCUCUGCCAGCUCCCAAAUGAAGACUCCUGUGGCAACAGAAAGUGAUGCCAUGGUGCAACUGGAGAAGUACAAACACAACACAAAGCAAAGCAAGGACUGCCAUUCCAUACACGGCUUGGAAUGGUAAGCCUGCAUCCCAGUGAGAGUCUAAGCUAGGGUUUGCUUCACAGAAAUCAUACUGGAAACUUAAGAAACUUACUGGCUGUUGACUGGGGUUUUUUGUGUGACUUUUUUUUUUUCUUAUUUUUUUUUUUUUUUCCUGCAAGGCAGUGACCUCAGCUGGCUGAUGCCCCAGGAGGCCAUGUCUCAUCCCUGGAUCGCUGUGCUGGUAUGAAAGGUCAAAACUCUGUGCUGGCCUCCCACUGCUCUACUCUCUGAGGAAACAAAUCCAAAUGGUGCCUGGGAUGAGGGGGCCAACAGCCAAGCCCUGCCAACAGGCCAGGAAACCUUACAGUGUGCUGCUCCCUUCUGCAUGGCCCUGCAUUGAAUUCUUCAGAUGUGAAAACCAAGAAAGAAGAUGCAUGGAGGAAGACAGCAGAACCACUAAGGACACUACCAAAGAUGAAGAAUCAAGAGUCUAUCUGAUGGGUUAAAGCAGUGCCUGGAAAUCAGGACUGCUUGGAUCGAUGCCUAACCACAGCUGACAACAGGCAAGUCUCUUCACUGCUGUGCUUCUGCCUCCCCAUCUGGAAAACGAGGAGAGUAAAGAAAUUCAGUGUCCUAUCCUCAGGGAAGGCAUAUGCAGUUUGGAAAGUGUUUUGAGCUACCCACAGAACUGUUUCUUUGUGUGCAAAGAGUUGUCACGUAUUCUUUAGAGAUUUCUUUUAAUUUGAAGAAAAAUAACUCCCUCUCUUUUAGAAAAAUUGGAAGUUAUAUUCUUAUUAUAUAUUUAUGACUAUACACCAGAUUUUUUUAAAGUCCUGUGCCUUUCCAAUUUUGCUAUUAAUAUGUCAUAAGAAAAUCAGGGAUUGUGUCCAAGUUCCAAUUCAUGAGAAUGGAAUUAACAUCUCCAUUAAAAUGGAAAAGGGGGAGUAGUGGGGGAAAUCUCGGAAGCCCUGGCGGGUGGUAAUAGCUGGACUAAGCUCUUCCAUCCUGGUGACUCAUUCUGGGAAUGGAUAGUGCCUCUGUUGUCUUCAGACAUUUAACACCUCCCUAAC